ACGGACGGGACGCAUCGCCUCAUCCUUGCGGCAACUAAUAUAUGGGCAAACUGUCACUUGUUUCAAGAGCUGCUUGUGCGUGCACUUCUUCCCUUUCCCUCUCGAUGAAACUGGAACAGUAGCAAGUCUUGUAUCUGCAUCCGACCUGGGCAAUGGGUACGCUGAAGCAACGUAGCCAAGCUUAGCGCUGUGCCAACAUGAGUUAACGGGCAGUUGAGCAGUACACAGAAGGAUGUAACGAUAUAUCAUCGUCAGUGACUCAACAUGCUUCGGGAGGUCACUGAAAGCCAUUCUGCUCGUACACUGCAGCCGUGUGUCACGGCAGAAACAAACUUACGUCUUCCCGAUGACUUCUUCAAACAAGGAAGCUUUGCCAAGCAGUGAGCCAGUCUGGUAUGUCAACAGGAAAAAGGGAUAGAAGUACCCAUCUUUCGUACGCACCACGUGUUUCUCUAUUGUUGCGAUUGUGAUGCCGAACUUCCAACAGUAAAAACAAGAUGGAGGCUGGGUGAUGUAAUCACAAAAUGCACUUCACUGAUGAACAUGCAAGGUACUACAUGCUCCAGUCACGUAUAGGGGCACAGAUUGCUUCCUUGUAAUAUUACGGAACCUGUCGGUAAUUUGGCCGUAGAAAGUGUUAUGCCAUGACUUCCCACUUAAUAUUGACCAUGGCUGUUUCCUUCCAUGUGUUCUUGAAGACUGUACGCGGUGACAUAAGACUGCAUUUCACCUCUGCAUCGACCCAUCAGUUGUUCUGGAACGUUUCAGGAAUUUUGGAAUUAGUCACAAA
rnacentral:lncRNA from 1 species